UCAGAAGUUUUAAGGACUUCUAAUCCUUUAUUGCUGCCGCCUUCUGAC
rnacentral:tRNA from 1 species